GCGGCCAUUCAUCAUUUCUCGUGGCAGCUGGGUUUGCGACGGAUCGCCAUGGAUGGGGUGGAGUUCUUCUUCGAGGAAGCCGAAUCAGGAUUGGUUCCCAGGGUGGAUGCCAGUGAUCUUUUAGGGGGAGAUAUCGCUACUGUGGAAUCGGUCGUUGCUUCAACCCAAGCAAGAUUUUCAAGAUUGAUUUCCAGUACUGCUUGUGCUUGAAAUUCAGUUUGCUAGCUGAAUAAUCAGUUGUUGUCAAAUGGAAGAUUUUCAGAACUGCUUGUGCUUGCGUAGUUGUGAGCUUGUUUCUAUGUUUGUGUCGCUCGUUCAUCACUUGUUUAAAAAAACCGUGUAAUGCA